UACAGAGGUCCCAAGCGUUGUUCGGAUUCACUGGGCGUAAAGAGCGUGUAGGCGGCCACGCAGGUCCGUUGUGAAAACUGGAGGCUCAACCUUCAGACGUCGACGGAAACCGUGUGGCUAGAGUCCGGAAGAGGAGAGUGGAAUUCCUGGUGUAGCGGUGAAAUGCGCAGAUAUCAGGAAGAACACCAAUGGCGAAGGCAGCUCUCUGGGACGGUACUGACGCUGAGACGCGAAAGCGUGGGGAGCGAACAGG
rnacentral:rRNA from 1 species